rnacentral:lncRNA from 1 species
AGAAAAUGUUAAAAGUAUAAAAUGUUGUAUGAUACAUGUAUAUAUCUUUCAAAUCAGGAUAUGCAUAACAUUGAAUAAUAGUUUCAUACAAAAUAAAGUAAUAAUAUAAACGUUACAAAUUGUACUACACCUGACGCCAUUUCGACAUUCAUUUCUCUUUUGUGAUCUCAAGGCCUCAGUACUUAAAAAUACAAAAUGUAAUACAAACAUUGAAGAGCUGACGAUAAGAUCAUCAAUAGAAAACUGCUUGUUAUACCUGCAAAGUUAUAUGUUGCCAAACAUUUAUAAUUGUCAUUCUGUAUUACAGUUCACAAAUAUGAGCAUGCCACCGA